rnacentral:sRNA from 1 species
UUCCAGCCCGGAUGGCAGCGGCAUCCUGACCGGAGUGCAGCGGAGGGCAGAUACAGCGAACAGCCGGAAGGCCG